GGCGAGGUUGCCGAGUGGCUAAGGCGAUGGAGUGCUAAUCCAUUGGGCGGUGCCCACGUGGGUUCGAGUCCCACCCUCGCGAUCA
rnacentral:tRNA from 1 species